rnacentral:rRNA from 1 species
AAGGUUUCCGUAGGUGAACCUGCGGAAGGAUCAUUAUUGAAGUUGAGGGAAGGUUGUUGCUGGUCCUUGAGGGGACAUCUGUGCACGCUUUCCUGUCCACCUCUUCACACCUGUGCACCACUUGUAGGCUGAGAAAUUGGUCUAUGUCCUUUAUUCACACCUCAUUUUUGUUUUGAAUGUACAUCUGCUUGAAAUAAAGCAAAUUAUAAUACAACUUUCAACAACGGAUCUCUUGGCUCUCGCAUCGAUGAAGAACGCAGCGAAAUGCGAUAAGUAAUGUGAAUUGCAGAAUUCAGUGAAUCAUCGAAUCUUUGAACGCACCUUGCGCUCCUUGGAAUUCCGAGGAGCAUGCCUGUUUGAGUGUCAUGAAACCUUCAAACCUCACGACUGUUUGGUCGUUGAAGGCUUUGGAUUGUGGAGUGUGCUGGGGAAGACUCUUUUCCAGCUCCUCUGAAAUGCAUCAGCAAAGUCUCAUCCACAGGAAAAUGCUUAGCUUUUGGUUUGAUAAUCUUUUGUCUAUGCCACUGCUAUUUGCAACUUGCUGGUGAAGAUAUUGCUUUAUACAAGAGAAAUCUUUUAAAUCAAACUUUGACCUCAAAUCAGGUAGGACUACCCGCUGAACUUAAGCAUAUCAAUAAGCGGAGGAAAAGAAACUAACAAGGAUUCCCCUAGUAACUGCGAGUGAAGCGGGAAAAGCUCAAAUUUAAAAUCUGAUAGUCCUUCUGGGCUGUCCGAGUUGUAAUCUAGAGAAGCGCUUCUGUGC